GUGAGGUCUUACUGAGCACUGCGUGCCAGUGGAAAGAAGCAUUUUGAAAGGUAAACUGGUGGGGGCGAUGGGGUUCAGAUAUUCUCUGAGAUCAGGAACGUCACUGCUCUCCCCGGGAAGCUGCUUUAGGCACAGUGCUCCUGCCUGACUCGGGAAGACUGCUCUCCUGGCCUCCUGGAAGUCAUAUGGGAAACAGCUCCUCCUGCCCCACCCACCUGCUGCAUGAAGUAUGGAGGCAGAUAUACAUGAAAAAUAAAUACUGAAGAUAUCCUGACUUACUAGAAGAGUACAGACACAUUUCAUGAGUAAUCUAAGAAGGAAAACAUCAUUUUAUCUCCAAAUGUAAGGAAGUGUUUACUUUCAAAUACU
ensembl:lincRNA